GCUAAUACCGGAUAACAACAGAUGAUGCCUAUCAACUGUUUAAAAGAUGGUUCUGCUAUCACUCUUGGAUGGACCUGCGGUGCAUUAGCUAGUUGGUAGGGUAACGGCCUACCAAGGCGAUGAUGCAUAGCCGAGUUGAGAGACUGAUCGGCCACAUUGGGACUGAGACACGGCCCAAACUCCUACGGGAGGCAGCAGGU
rnacentral:rRNA from 1 species